GACCGCGUAGCUCAGUUGGCAGAGCAUUGGACUAGUAUCCCAAAGGUCGCGGGUUCGAUUCCCACCGUGGUCA